rnacentral:rRNA from 1 species
AUUGAACGCUGGCGGCAGGCCUAACACAUGCAAGUCGAGCGGGGCGGCGGACGGGUGAGUAAUACCUAGGAAUCGGCCUGGUAGUGGGGGAUAACUAUCGGAAACGGACGCUAAUAACUCAUACUCUCAACUGAGCCUAGGUCGGAUUAGCUAGUUGGUGGGGUAAUGGCUCACCAAGGCGACGAUCCGUAACUGGUCUGAGAGGAUGAUCAGUCACACUGGAACUGAGACACGGCCCAGACUCCUACGGGAGGCAGCAGUGGGGAAUAUUGGACAAUGGGCGCAAGCCUGAUCCAGCCAUGCCGCGUGUGUGAAGAAGGUCUUCGGAUUGUAAAGCACUUUAAGUUGGGAGGCGUUACCGACAGAAUAAGCACCGGCUAACUCCGUGCCAGCAGCCGCGGUAAUAC